rnacentral:rRNA from 1 species
CGAAGGGGGCGUAGCGUUGUUCGGAGUUACUGGGCGUAAAGGGCGCGUAGGCGGCCCUCCAAGUCGGGUGUGAAAGACCCACGGCUCAACCGUGGAAUUGCACUCGAGACUGGGGAGGCUUGAGGAUGGGAGAGGAUGGUGGAAUUCCCAGUGUAGAGGUGAAAUUCGUAGAUAUUGGGAAGAACACCGGUGGCGAAGGCGGCCAUCUGGACCAUUUCUGACGCUGAGGCGCGAAAGCGUGGGGAGCAAACAGGAUUAGAUACCCUGGUAGUCCACGCCGUAAACGAUGAGUGCUAGACGUUGGGGAGCCUAGCUCUUCGGUGUCGCAGCUAACGCAUUAAGCACUCCGCCUGGGGAGUACGGCCGCAAGGUUA